UACGGGGGGGGCAAGCGUUGUUCGGAAUUACUGGGCGUAAAGGGCUCGUAGGCGGCCAACUAAGUCAUACGUGAAAUCCCUCGGCUUAACCGGGGAACUGCGUCUGAUACUGAAGAUCUUGAGUUCGGGAGAGGUGAGUGGAACUGCGAGUGUAGAGGUGAAAUUCGUAGAUAUUCGCAAGAACACCAGUGGCGAAGGCGGCUCACUGGCCCGGUACUGACGCUGAGGUGCGAAAGCGUGGGGAGCAAACAGG
rnacentral:rRNA from 1 species